rnacentral:rRNA from 1 species
UACGGAGGGGGCUAGCGUUGUUCGGAAUUACUGGGCGUAAAGCGCGCGUAGGCGGCUUUGUAAGUUAGAGGUGAAAAGCCCGGAGCUCAACUCCGGAAUUGCCUUUAAGACUGCAUCGCUAGAAUCAUGGAGAGGUGAGUGGAAAUUCCGAGUGUAGAGGUGAAAUUCGUAGAUAUUCGGAAGAACACCAGUGGCGAAGGCGGCUCACUGGACUGGUAUUUGA